ensembl:lncRNA
ACACACAGCACACAGAGUACACACACACAUACACACACAGUGUACACACAGCACACAGAGUACACACACACACACACAGCACACAGAGUACACACAGCACACACACACACACACACACAGAGUACACACAGCACACAGCACACAGAGUACACACAGCACACACACACACAGAGUACACACAGCACACAGCACACACAGCACACAGUACACAGAGCACACACAGCACACAGAGUACACACACACACACACACACACACACACACACAGCACACAGAGUACACACAGCACACACACACACAGCACACACACACACACACACACACACACACAUACACACACACACACACACACACACACACACAGUACACAGAGUACACACAGCACACAGCACACACACACACAGCACACACACACACACACACAGCACACACACACACACACACACACACACACACAGCACACAGAGUACACACAGCACACACAUACACUGCACACACACACACACACACACACACACACACACACACAGCACACAGAGUACACACAGCACACACACACACACUGCACACACACACACACACACACACACACACACACACACACACACACACACACACACACACACACACACACACACAGAGUACACCCCUGUGCAAUUUCACUGAAAUGUCAAAUGAUUCAAAACUGUAUCACCUUACAGUAAUUGCAUAAGUUGAACAGUAGGGUAUUUGCUCUUAUGUAAAAUUAAAAUCUAACGGUUUAGAUUUACUAUAUUAAAAACACAGGCCCCACAGUAGGAACUCAAUGCAAAAAAAGUCAAUACAUUUAGCUAAAGAACAUGAAAGGAACCCUGAUGAAUAUUGGGAGCACACUCUGGUCAGAUGAGACCAAGAUAAAUCUGAUUGGCUUAGUUCUGUUGAAGAGCUUAGAGAAUUAGAGAAUGCAUUGUUAAGGCUAUAAAUACCAUUGAUAAGCCGUUCUUGCCUGGGAAAUUGAAAUUGUGGCGCUUGCAGUUUGGGCUUUUGUCAAGUUUAAAGUGGCCUUUUCCUGUGUAUGGAGUUACUAUUUCAGAGGUGGAGAACUUUGAGAGAAUCAUGAAUAAGGCAGCUAAAAAUUGGCUUAGGGUGCCAUGUUGUCUAAGUACAUUAACAUUACAUGGAAAAAGGAAUUUUGAAGUUACCAAUAACCAGCUUGGUGGAGGAGUUCAAAUGUGCUAAAACCAGCCUGGAGAUGACUUUAUCGCAGUCAAGAACCCAGCAGUCAAGAACCCAGAACACUGCAGUCAAGAACAUCAAGAACCGAGCAGUCAAGAACACAGCAGUCAAGAACCCAGCAGUCAAGAACCCAGCAGUCAAGAACACUACAGUGAAGAACCCAACAGUCAAGAACACAGCAGUCAAGAACAUCAAGAACCCAGCAGUCAAGAACACUACAGUCAAGAACACUGCAGUCAAGAACCCAGCAGUCAAGCAGUCAAGAACACUGCAGUCAAGAACCCAGCAGUCAAGAACACUCCAGUCAAGAACCCAGCAGAACCGAGCAGUCAAGAACACUGCAGUCAAGAACCAAGAACCCAGCAGUCAAGAACAUCAAGAACCCAGCAGUCAAGAACAUCAAGAACCCAGCAGUCAAGAACACAGCAGAACCGAGCAGUCAAGAACCCAGCAGUCAAGAACCCAGCAGAACCCAGCAGUCAAGAACCCAGCAGUCAAGAACCCAGCAGAACCCAGCAGUCAAGAACCCAGCAGUCAAGAACCCAAGAACCCAGCAGUCAAGAACCCAGCAGUCAAGAACCCAAGAACCCAGCAGUCAAGAACACAGCAGAACCGAGCAGUCAAGAACCCAGCAGUCAAGAACCCAGCAGAACCCAGCAGUCAAGAACCCAGCAGUUAAGAACCCAGCAGUCAAGAACCCAGCAGAACCCAGCAGUCAAGAACCCAGCAGUCAAGAACCCAAGAACCCAGCAGUCAAGAACCCAGCAGAACCCAGCAGUCAAGAACCCAGCAGUCAAGAACACUGCAGAACCCAGCAGUCAAGAACCCAGCAUGCCAGUGGUUAUGGUUGAGGUGCUCACAGACUCCAGUGGUUAUGGUUGAGGUGCUCACAGACUCCAGUGGUUAUGGUUGAGUGCCAGUGGUUAUGGUUGAGGUGCUCACACACACACACUCCAGUGGUUAUGGUCGAGGUGCUCACACACACACACUCCAGUGGUUAUGGUUGAGGUGCUCACAGACUCCAGUGGUUAUGGUCGAGGUGCUCACAGACUCCAGUGGUUAAGGUGCUCACAGACUCCAGUGGUUAUGGUUGAGGUGCUCACAGACUCCAGUGGUUAUGGUUCAGGUGCUCACACACACACACUCCAGUGGUUAUGGUUAGUUUCACAGACUACAUGUUCUCCCACCACCAACCCAUUCCCUUACCCUAAACCUCCUGAGUGGGUUACCCCCCCCUACCCCCAC